rnacentral:rRNA from 1 species
CUCCUUUAUGAGUCAGAAAUGACGGUAGCUCAUGAAUAAGCACCGGCUAACUCCGUGCCAGCAGCCGCGGUAAUACGGAGGGUGCAAGCGUUAUUCGGAAUCACUGGGCGUAAAGGACGCGUAGGCGGGUUGUCAAGUCUGAUGUGAAAUCCUAUGGCUCAACCAUAGAACUGCAUUGGAAACUGGCAACCUAGAGUAU